GAUGAACGCUGGCGGCGUGCUUAACACAUGCAAGUCGAACGGGAAUUACUUUAUUGAAACUUCGGUCGAUUUAAUUUAAUUCUAGUGGCGGACGGGUGAGUAACGCGUGGGUAACCUGCCUUAUACAGGGGGAUAACAGUCAGAAAUGACUGCUAAUACCGCAUAAGCGCACAGAGCUGCAUGGCUCGGUGUGAAAAACUCCGGUGGUAUAAGAUGGACCCGCGUUGGAUUAGCUAGUUGGUGGGGUAACGGCCCACCAAGGCGACGAUCCAUAGCCGGCCUGAGAGGGUGAACGGCCACAUUGGGACUGAGACACGGCCCAGACUCCUACGGGAGGCAGCAGUGGGGAAUAUUGCACAAUGGGGGAAACCCUGAUGCAGCGACGCCGCGUGAAGGAAGAAGUAUCUCGGUAUGUAAACUUCUAUCAGCAGGGAAGAAAAUGACGGUACCUGACUAAGAAGCCCCGGCUAACUACGUGCCAGCAGCCGCGGUAAUACGUAGGGGGCAAGCGUUAUCCGGAUUUACUGGGUGUAAAGGGAGCGUAGACGGAUGGACAAGUCUGAUGUGAAAGGCUGGGGCUCAACCCCGGGACUGCAUUGGAAACUGCCCGUCUUGAGUGCCGGAGAGGUAAGCGGAAUUCCUAGUGUAGCGGUGAAAUGCGUAGAUAUUAGGAGGAACACCAGUGGCGAAGGCGGCUUACUGGACAGUAACUGACGUUGAGGCUCGAAAGCGUGGGGAGCAAACAGG
rnacentral:rRNA from 1 species